rnacentral:rRNA from 1 species
AGGACGAACGCUGGCGGCGUGCUUAACACAUGCAAGUCGAGCGGAAAGGCCUUUCGGGGUACUCGAGCGGCGAACGGGUGAGUAACACGUGAGUAAUCUGCCCAUCGCUUCAGGAUAGCCGUCGGAAACGGUGAUUAAUACUGGAUAUGACAUUCCUUCGCAUGUUGGGGUGUGGAAAGUUUUUUCGGCGGUGGAUGUGCUCGCGGCCUAUCAGCUUGUGGUGGGUAAUGGCCUACCAAGGCUUUGACGGGUAGCCGGCCUGAGAGGGUCGACCGGCCACGACGUGGGACUGAGACACGGCCCAGCUCGACGGAGCAGCAGUGGGAAUGUGGACAGUGGGACGGAAGCC